UCGAGAAGAGAGGAGGGAGAAGAGCACGGGGAGGACCGGAUCUGGAGAGACGAGGUCGCCGGAGCUCGGUUUUUCAACUGACAGGGGGAAGGCGACCUGCGGGGGUGGUGGUGCUGCUUUGGGUCGGCCAUGACCCUGCUCCUGUGGCUGCGAGCUGCUGGACCUGAAGAAAGAAACAAACAGAGCGAGAGAGAGUUCAGAGAAGAAAUAGGGGAAGGAAGAGAGGGAAAAAGGAGAGGGAUUCGGACAUGGCCGUGGACCUGCAGGUGCCCGGCAAGCUGGAGACCGAGCCUACUCCUCGAUUUGGAUGUGGCUACGCGGAGCAAUUGGAUCUGGAGAGAAAAUGGAG
rnacentral:lncRNA from 1 species